rnacentral:tRNA from 1 species
GCCGGAGUGGCCGAGCGGUUCUAGGCGCUUCAGCCUGGAACGCUGCGGUCGCAGGUUCGAAUCCUGCCUCUGGCA